rnacentral:rRNA from 1 species
CAGUCGUAUCGACGAGAAAUCAACCUUUCGAGUGCGAACCUGUGGCGUGCGUGAGUCUUUGACGGGCCUCGCUGUUUGCAAUGUUUGUGCUUUUGGGGUUACUUUUUCGUAUGGUAGGCCAACGUCAGUUUCGAUCACCGUAAAAUGAUCGGAGGAAUGUGGCUUCGAUCUCGUAUUGAAGUGUUAUAGCCUUGGUAGAUGCGGUGACCGAACUGAGGAUUGCAACG